rnacentral:rRNA from 1 species
GACGUAGGUGGCGAACGUUAUCCGGAAUUAUUGGGCGUAAAGGAUGCGUAGAUGGUGUAGUAAGUUAUCGGUGGCAAAUCGAGGCUCAACCUUGUGGAAGUCGGAAUACUGCUAUGCUAGAGGAUAGGAGAGGUUAACGGAACUCCCUGUGGAGCGGUGAAAUGCAUAGAUAUUGGGAAGAACACCAAUCAGGCGAAGGCAGUUAACUAUUCUAUUCCUGACAUUGAGGCAUGAAAGCGUGGGGAGCAAAACGG